rnacentral:rRNA from 1 species
AGAUCUUCCGGGUGAUUCGUCGACUGUAUUCGAGUGAGAAUGCCGGAACGAUUAGCGAGAAUUAUGUGGGAAUCAUAAUGGCCGAAAAUCUAAGGUUUCCUGGGGAAGGUUCGUCCGCCCAGGGUAAGCCGGGAGCUAAGGCGAGGCCGAAAGGCGUAGUCGAUGCACAUACGGUUGAAAUUCCGUAGCCACCGAACCUUAAGUACACUGACACAUGGAGAUAGCGGGACCCGGGCGUUGGUUGACCCGGGCGUAAGGGACCGAACUUUAGUAGGGAAGUCCGCGAUGCUCUGUGGCGAGAAAAGGUGUAUGGUAUGCUAAGGUGCCCGUACCGCAAACCGACACAGGUAGAUGAGGAGAGAAUCCUAAGGCUAACGGGAGAAGGGUUGUUAAGGAACUCGGCAAAAUGACCCCGUAACUUCGGGAUAAGGGGAGCCUCCUACGGGAGGCCGCAGCGAAUAGGCCCAAGCGACUGUUUACCAAAAACACAGGUCUCUGCUAAAUCGAAAGAUGACGUAUAGGGGCUGACGCCUGCCCGGUGCUGGAAGGUUAAGAGGAGAUGUUAGCCGCAAGGCGAAGCAUUGAAUCGAAGCCCCAGUAAACGGCGGCCGUAACUAUAACGGUCCUAAGGUAGCGAAAUUCCUUGUCAGGUAAGUUCUGACCCGCACGAAUGGCGUAACGACUUGGGCGCUGUCUCAACAGCCCACCCGGCGAAAUUGUUGUACUGGUGAAGAAGCCAGUUACCCGCAACUAGACGGAAAGACCCCAUGGAGCUUUACUGUAGCUUAAUACUGGAAAUCGGUAAAUCAUGUACAGGAUAGGUGGGAGACUUGGAAGCCAGGGCGUCAGCUUUGGUGGAGUCACCCUUGGGAUACCACCCUUGAUUUGCUGGUUUUCUAACCUGCGGCCGUGAAUCCGGUCGGGGGACACUGUUAGGUGGGCAGUUUGACUGGGGCGGUCGCCUCCUAAAAGGUAACGGAGGCGCUCAAAGGUUCGUUCAGCACGGACGGAAACCGUGCAGUGAGUGUAAACGCAUAAACGAGCCUAACUGCGAGACCGACGGGUCGAGCAGUAACGAAAGUUGGAGUUAGUGAUCCGGCGGUAU